rnacentral:rRNA from 1 species
GUGCCAGCAGCCGCGGUAAUACGAAGGGGGCUAGCGUUGUUCGGAAUCACUGGGCGUAAAGGGCGCGUAGGCGGCUUUAUAAGUCGGGGGUGAAAGCCUGUGGCUCAACCACAGAAUUGCCUUCGAUACUGUAGAGCUUGAGACCGGAAGAGGUAAGUGGAACUGCGAGUGUAGAGGUGAAAUUCGUAGAUAUUCGCAAGAACACCAGUGGCGAAGGCGGCUUACUGGUCCGGUUCUGACGCUGAGGCGCGAAAGCGUGGGGAGCAAACAGGAUUAGAUACCCUGGUAGUCC